ACUUGGCUCCGGCCCCUGCCUCAUGUCCCACUCUAUGAGCACCGGCCUCAUCUUAUCCCGCACUUCCAGGUACGUCCACAACAGCUUGUUGGGGUCGGAGCUGGUGUGACCCAGCAGCGGGUGCAUCAGCAUGAACACGCCCUGAACAUCAGGCCGCCGAGACCAGCUGCGGAGCCAAAUGUGAAACGAAAUGCAACCAGCCAACCAUCAGCCAAUAGCCAACAGAGCAGAGCGGAGAGGGGUGUGCGUUAGCCGCGGCCGCAGCCAACAGCAAGGGGGGGGAGGGUGUAGAGCUGGGAAGGGAAGCUUCCGGGGCUUCCGGGAUCCGCCGCCGGUUUCAGGUGCAGAGAGCUGACAGAUGCGAAGCAGGCUCCGCAACAGUAGUCGACGAGACUAAACAUGGUGUGGGGGGGACAUGGCGCAACGCAACGGAUCGGUCAUGGAGUAGCAGCGCGGCCCACGCUGCGAGGUGGUGGAGUGCGUAUGUGUGUGUGUUGUGAGAGAGUGUGUGUGUGUGUUGUGUGUAUGUGUGUGUAUUGAUCCUGCAGGUUUGUCUCCUUCGGCACGCCCACAGGCCACAGUCCACAGGCCACCGAGCUGCGUGGCUCCAUCCAUCUCACGCCCCCACCGACCUGAUGCAGGUCACCUUCUUGCGCAGCUCCUCCGCAGCCAGGAGGGCCCGCCGGGUCUCAGACUCGAAGGCGGAUACGGUGGCUCGGCACUCGGAGGCGAAGGAGGGGCCCGUGGUCACAGCUCUGUCCAGGUGCGAAGGGGCCCAGAAAGGAGGGUUCAGGGAGAGGAGUCUUAGGGCUGCAAGAAACUACACAGAAAAACUACUACUGCACUGACGUCAAAAAACAACGACUUGGAGGAAGGGGGGAAAGACGAACCACACGCGAUUGAAGCUGCUGCCAGGGCAAGAGAGUAGCAAACGUAGCAAACGUGGAGGAAGGGGGGAGUUUCAUCUGGGUCGUGGGGCGCAACACGGUCGAUUGGAGGCUGCAAGGGCCCGUGGGGGAAGGAGAGCCCGUGGGACAGAGCUACCUGGAACUAACUUGGAUCCCCAGUGGGUACUAACGGAACUAACGGAAACCUAAUAACCCAGCGAUACAUAUUCGAUAGCGAUAUUCGACAUAUGGACAUUUUCAACCUACCGAGAAAUCACCCGCAUGAACUUUCGUUGCGGCUCCGAUCUGCAGACGGACAAACAGACAGACAAACAGGCCGCCACAGGCAUGCAGCCACGAGGAGGUCGUCGGAAGGGGAGGUACAGCGUCAUGAAGGAGGACGAAAGAGGGAGGUGGAGCAGGCGAGCUGCACCGGGGGGGGGUUGGAGGCGACGUUAAGUAGCACCGAUCGCCCUCGCGCAGAAUACAGACAGACCUGCACGCGAGCCUGCCCCGUCCACCACACGCGAGCGCGCCCCCGCUUCCGGGUCUCCGUUCUCCCUUCGUUCCCCGCCAGCGGGUGCAACAGGACCGCACAUUUCUUAGGGUGCGGUGCAUGUGCAGCAUGAGGAGAAGGAAAAAAGCGUGUUGCACAUCACAUUCGCAGCAGCGGGCCCCGUUCACCUUCGCCUUCACUUAUUCGUCCUGUAGACACCUCACAGGCAUCAGUGCGCAGGAGGUUACUUACUACUCACACCUUCGCCUACUCGCCUACUCGCUAGCCUGCUAGUCCCUUCCCUCCCUCCCCCCCUUCCCCCGUCCCCCCGUCCCUGCCUCCCUGCCUCGCCCACCUGUGGAACUCGCAUUCGCAAGGGCUGCCCUCCGCCCGGGGUCUGCAGGGCCCGGGACCACACACCGGGCACGGCUGCCGGCCGUGCUUCUCAU
rnacentral:lncRNA from 1 species